rnacentral:rRNA from 1 species
UACGGGGGGAGCAAGCGUUGUUCGGAUUUACUGGGCGUAAAGGGCGCGUAGGCGGCCAGCACAAGUCAGUUGUGAAAUCUUCGAGCUUAACUCGGAAAGGUCGACUGAUACUGUGCGGCUAGAGUGCGGAAGGGGCAACUGGAAUUCUUGGUGUAGCGGUGAAAUGCGUAGAUAUCAAGAGGAACACCUGCGGCGAAGGCGGGUUGCUGGGCCGACACUGACGCUGAGGCGCGAAAGCUAGGGGAGCGAACGGG